CGCAUCUGUGCAUGCAGCAUAUCAAUAAGCGGAGGAAAAGAAACUAACAAGGAUUCCCCUAGUAACGGCGAGUGAAGCGGGAAGAGCUCAAAUUUGAAAUCUUAAAGGGUUUCCCUUUACGAAUUGUAGUUUAAAGAAGUGUUUUCUGUUGAGGUUUUGGUAAAAGUUCUUUGGAAUAGGACAUCAUAGAGGGUGAGAAUCCCGUAUUUGACCUUUACUUUCAACUUUGUGAUACACUUUCAAAGAGUCGGAUUGUUUGGGAAUGCAGUCCAAAAUGGGUGGUAAAUUUCAUCUAAAGCUAAAUAUUGGCGAGAGACCGAUAGCGAACAAGUACCGUGAGGGAAAGAUGAAAAGAACUUUGAAAAGAGAGUUAAACAGUACGUGAAAUUGUCAAAAGGGAAGCGUUUGACACCAGUGUUGUUUUUCUGAAAAUCAAUUAAAGAACUGUUUAUGCUAAGUUGUUUAGACUUUAUCAGCUAACUGUUUAGUUUUGAGCUUUUCCUUUAAUGCACUUUUCAGUUAACAAGUCAACAUCAAUUUCUUUUGCUGUAAAAAAGCUUGAGGAAGGUGGCUUGAGAUUCGUCUUAAGUGUUUAUAGCCUCUUGCCUAUGCAGUCGGAGAGAUUGAGGUCUGCAGCGUAGAUCCUUCGGGGCUAAAUGCAUUUGUGCUAAGUUAUAGCAUUUUAUAGACAACUUGUUGACUAUGAUUUGUCUUGUAGCUUACUCGCUUAUGUUAUUUUACCUACGCUUAGGAUGUUGACAGCAGUAUAGACUGU
rnacentral:rRNA from 1 species